rnacentral:lncRNA from 1 species
AUGCACCAUGCAGACCUGAUCUGUGGUUACACUGUGCACUCCUUCAUGCCUAAAGCUCCCUGUGCACCUGCAACCACACCACGCACAGGCUGGGAACGCCAAUCCCCUCUGCCACCCUGCAUCACCAUGAGGCACUACUCCAGCUGCAGAGCUCUGCCUGCAUCAGGGAAUGGGGCACACGAUGGCACAACGUCUUCUAGAACUGUGCUGGGAGACCGCAGUGAAGCAGCCCCACAUUCACGGAGGAGUUUUCAGGAGCUGAGAGAACAGGCAAAGUUCAGGCUAUGCCAUCAUCACAGCAUUUAUGAAGAGGAAACAUCAAUAGGGGCAGAGCUCCAAUGUGGAAGUAAGCCUAGUAGAGUCCUCCAGAAGCUGCAAAUGGACAUGCAGUGCUCCUGCAGCAGGAGAAAUGUGUUUCCAGAGCCUGAGGAGAUGCACCUGCAAGUCAAUGUCCUCUCACCUUGCAGUGCGGCAGAGAAGCUUCUGAAAGAACAGAAAGGAAUACGCAUCUCUAUCUCAGCUAUCUGCAUGCAUUUUCACUUUUUUUGGAGGCCAAAGCAGCACACUUUACUUGGGCACACCGUGAGAUCUCCCAGAGCUGCGGUGCAGAUGCAUCUCCUUCACACCCCUUGCCCUGCAGGCUGAGCUGCACCCAGCACAGAGCUACCCAACGUUCCCUUGAUGAAUAUGCAGCAAUGAGGGGAUCUGACCUAGAGCUCAAAAAUCAGCAAGAGCAAUUUCCUUUAGAAAUUAAUUACUGCUGACAUCUAAUACAACCAUCGCACGCAGGCAGACACCAG